rnacentral:rRNA from 1 species
UACCAUGCAAGUCGAGCGAUGAAGUUUCUUCGGAAAUGGAUUAGCGGCGAACGGGUGAGGAACACGUGAAGAAUCUGCCCUCCACUUUGGGAUAACACCGGGAAACCGGUGCUAAUACCGAAUAUUGAAACAUAAGUGGCAUCACUGGGUUUUGAAAGAAUUUCGGUGGAGGAUGACUUCGCGGCCUAUCAGCUAGUUGGUGAGGUAAUGGCUCACCAAGGCAACGACGGGUAGCCGGCCUGAGAGGGCGACCGGCCACACUGGGACUGAGACACGGCCCAGACUCCUACGGGAGGCAGCAGUGGGGAAUAUUGGGCAAUGGAGGAAACUCUGACCCAGCGACGCCGCGUGCGGGAUGAAGGCCUUCGGGUUGUAAACCGCUUUCAGUAGGGAAGAAGCGAAAGUGACGGUACCUACAAAAGAAGCACCGGCUAACUAUGUGCCAGCAGCCGCGGUAAUACAUAGGGUGCAAGCGUUGUCCGGAAUUAUUGGGCGUAAAGAGCUCGUAGGUCGUUUGUUACGUCGGAUGUGAAAACCUGAGGCUCAACCUCAGGCCUGCAUUCGAUACGGGCAAACUAGAGUUUGGUAGGGGAGACUGGAAUUCCUGGUGUAGCGGUGGAAUGCGCAGAUAUCAGGAGGAACACCAAUGGCGAAGGCAGGUCUCUGGGCCAAUACUGACACUGAGGAGCGAAAGUCUGGG